rnacentral:rRNA from 1 species
UACGAAGGGGGCUAGCGUUGCUCGGAAUCACUGGGCGUAAAGGGCGCGUAGGCGGCUGUUUAAGUCGGAGGUGAAAGCCCGUGGCUCAACCACGGAAUGGCCUUCGAUACUGGACGGCUUGAGACCGGAAGAGGACGGCGGAACUGCGAGUGUAGAGGUGAAAUUCGUAGAUAUUCGCAAGAACACCAGUGGCGAAGGCGGCUGUCUGGUCCGGUUCUGACGCUGAGGCGCGAAAGCGUGGGUAGCAAACAGG